CCUUUUCUUUUUAAAAAAAGAAAAAAAAAAAUAAAGAGGAAGGGAGGGUGGAGAAAAGCUUGGAUCCCAAAGAGCAGCCAGGCUGCAGCCCGGCAGCGCGUCAGGGGGCCGUUUGCAGCAUCAAGUUCCUCAGGAGUUUCUGGCGCCCGACCUCGUAAUCCUCCUCAUCCACAUUAACCAGCAGUUUGAUGGCUUCGUGGCCCACGGCUUGCUUGAGCGAGUCCGUGAUGAAGACGCCCUUGAGGGCCUCCAGCAAAGAGCCGUUUAUGUAGUCGCGCCAGAACGCGUCGAGGUAGGUGAGCUCUGAGAACUUUAUGUCACAGAUGAUAGAGCCCAGGUCCCGGGAUUUUAAGAUGGUGUUGGCCUGGUUGAAGCGCUCGAACUGCCGCUCCAAGGGGUCCUGCUUGUUGGAGAAGACGUUGCCUUGAAGCGCCGUCUCGUGCUGGCAGUAUUCGGCUCGGACUCGCAGGCGGAUAUCUGAGGGUGGAGGGAAGCAGGGAAAGGCAGUUACAGCGCUUCGGUGCGCGGCUCCAUGCGGGCUCAACCCUCUCCUGGGAAGGGGAAACCCAGCACAAGGGACCCCCCCCACACACACCCCGCAGAGGGUGCUGUCCCCUCGCACUGGGAGCCACCGUCACCCAGCUCCACGCCAGCGCAGGGAGCGUAACGCGCCCAAGCUUUGCAAACCGGGGCCGGACUCGGGUGCCUGUCGCCGAGCUGAGCCCAUCAGGACGCGCGCAGCGUUCAGAGCGGGGCUGGAGCGGGCAAAGCGCGUCCGCUCGGAAGCCACCUGAGUCGCGCUGCCUCCGUCGAGCUCCACUUUGGGGGCGGAGGCCCCCCCCAAAUCGGAGCCCAAGCCACGACCGACCCGGACGUUAGCCUCGCUCGGACUUCACCCCGGCACCGCGAACCCGCCCCGGCCCUCCACGACGCUCUUACCACAGGUCUGUUUCUCCUUAGGGUCCGGUGUCACCGACUUCCUCCUCUUCCGCUGGCUGCUGAGGAGGGCUCUCCCACGGCCAGGCCUCUUGGUACUUGUCUACGAGAUCUGGACACACUGGAAGAGAGAUAAUGUUUUGCUCUGUAAAAGGGAGGCCAGAAGAGAUCUGUCUCGACAUGGCAGACGCCAGCACGUGCUUAAGAUGCUUUAUUGAUGUCGUGCACCGGGAAACACCGCGGCUUCCCCUGCCCCCCGGGCAGGGGGGCUUCUGCCUGAAUCAGCGCUGGGGUCCUUCACGAGCCCAAGAGUGAAUUUACUGGUCUUUUGUUUAAAAGGAAAAAAGAGUAGUCAAAACUUUGCAGAAGGCAGUACCUUAAGGCUCUCGAGCAUAGUGUUUUCCAGUCCUAACGAUGACAUUUGCUCUCACGCAAGUGCCCCCAACGCUCCCCAAACAAGCCGCCCUCGAGCCGAGCCGCACGUCAAGACCUGCUCCCUCUCACACCGGGCCUCUCGGAUGAGCCGCCCGCGGUCGGGAGCCGAGCGCUCGAAACCCAGAACAGCUCUGCGUAGGAGAGGCCGCUCGCGUUCAUCUCCACGGUCGCUCGCUCCGGACAGCGUCACACGCAACCCUCGGGGAGAAGCUUCCCCCGAAGCAGGCGGCGCGGUGGCCUCUGCCAGCGGCCACAACUUACUCCGGACCUCUGCCGUUCGCGCUCGCCCCCUUCCCCUUCCCUCUCACAGGGCUGCACAUACCCGGCGAGCGCCUCGGAGGAGGAGCCGGCUGCAGGAUUCCCUUUAAGCUGCCUACACGAGCUACCAAAUUACACAUUGAUCUCCAAGCUCCACUAAAUACCUGCUAAAGUAGGUGCAAUUCCUCUACAGCUUCACCUUUCCCUGCAGGCUCUUGCCAAAGUCAGAGCUGCCCUGGAAGGGGGACAAGCUCCCCAACAACUUAAUUGCUGCUGAAGGAUUUGAUUACUCAAAACGCUUUAAAAUAAACUCAUUGAAACCUGACGUUAUAA